rnacentral:lncRNA from 1 species
AGAUAAGAAAAAAAAAGUUAUUAAUUUUUCGUAAUUUUUAACUUGAACUUUUAGAAUUAUUAUAAUUAAUCAAGUCUCACAAUCCAAUUUAGUUGACUAAAUACUGGCACAAUGCUUACGAAAAAAUUAAGUAACAUCUUAAUUAUUGAUACAUCAUCAAUCACAAUGCUGUCGCUUUUAUGUUAGUGGUAUAUAUAUAUCAAUAUUUAGUUAACUGAAUUAGGUUACAGAAUUUAAUUGCAAUAAUUUUAAAAAUUCUAGUCAGAUACUACAAAGUGCAAUUUACCUAAAAAGAUUUAUAAUACAAUUUUCCUCUAAUAU